rnacentral:misc_RNA from 1 species
AAACAAGUCAUUCAAUUUUUUUCAGUUUCAGGGGGAAUAAACAAUACUAUUUCGAUGGUUCACAAUGAGGUGAGCUAAAUCUUGUCUUUUUACUUCUCAAAAUUGUUGAAUUCGAGGAGUCUUAAGUAUUAGCUUCUAAGGAUUAUUUAACAAUAAUUGAAAGUUGAAGUGGCCCUUGGGGCUUUGACUUAGUGAUAAGAGCACAACGCGUGAUGUGUGGUUAGGAGCACGUCAUGGGUG